GCCAGGCGUGGUGGCUCAUGCCUGUAAUCCCAGCUACUCAGGAGGCUGAGGCAGGAGAAUCGCUUGAACCCAGGAAGCAGAGGUUGCAGUGAGCCGAGAUAGUGCCACUGCACUCCCGCCUGGGUGACAGAGCGAGACUCUGUCUCAA
rnacentral:SRP_RNA from 1 species